CCCACAAUGCCGAAGGGGGCGGGGACGAGGAAAGGCGGGAUUGAGGAGAAGGGGCGGAGUCGAAGCCUGCGGUAGCGAGAGCGUGCGUCAUGACGUCAUGAAAAGACUCCUUAUAUACUGGCACCUGGCCGCCAUCUCGGUCUUUCGCGACUGGGAGUCGACGUUGGCUGUCUUUGGCCGCUGCUAGACAAGAAUGUUGGGUGGCUUCUGAUGGCAUCUGAUGGACAGUUCUGUGACAGCUGGAUGAGAACAGCUUCCUGGGUCGUAAAGCACAAGCUUCUCACAGCCAUGGACAAACAUGCACUAAAUAGAAUUCGCUGGAGAGUGAAGUGGUGGACUUGAGUCUUGGCAUGUGUGUACCAACUUUUUUUCUCUAUGGGGCUCGUGUGGAUGGCUCACUUGGUGCAGAUUAUAUACAUCUUUAAUAUAAAGAUGUGAAGAGAACCAGGUUGGGGUUGGCUGUAAGACAUGGAACCACUGAAGAUUAACCAAAAGGCAGACCUUCUGUUUCCCUGGAGAUUGCAAGGGUCUUUAAGAUGGCAGUAAUCAUGGAGUUUGUUGAAAGAGAGCUGUGUGGAUGGAUGCUCAUGGGAUAGAAGAUUAAAUGGACUUGAUUUUUUUUUAAUAAAACUUUUUACAAACAUCUUAGUGUAAUUACUUUUUAAUAUAGUGGGUUGAAAGGAAAUUUAUGUAUACGAGAACUGGGGUACAGGCCAGAAGUGUGGGGGGUUGAAAGGAUUCACCAGAGACAGAAUGGGGAACAGAACAGGCAGAUUGACUGAAGUACACUGCUGAGGGGAGCAGUGGGCAAGGCAGGAGACAUCUGCUAUGCCAUGUGGGUAAGCUCCUUGGCAGUAACUGCAGACAGCUUCAUAGGCUGCGUCUUAACCCCUUGCGCCACCAGGGAGGCCCAAAACAUUUCUUAUAUAUUUUUUGCAUUUUUUUCAUUUUUGCACAAUGUAUAUCUUUGUUAUAGUCCCCUUGCAAUUCCCACCUCCCUUGUUUUGAUCCCACUCCCUUCUUUCUCCCACCCCCUUGUGUCUUGUUUAUAUAGUUGUUGAUUUUGAUUUUUUUCUUUAUUAGUCUGGUCCCUAUUUAGGUUUUCUAAAUUCCUGCUAUGAGUGAGAACCAUUGGUAUUUUUCUUUCUGGCUUAUUUCACUGAGCAUGAUCCCUUCCAACUCUCCAUGUUGCUGCAAAUUGCAUGAGCCAAAACAUGUAUUUUUAAAAAGGAAAGUGCUUAUGAUAAAAUGUGGUCAAUAGCUAAGGCUAUUACAAUGUCCUUGUUUCAGAAAUGUCUUAAGAGCAGUAAUGGAAUGGUUAAUAACUAAGUAGCCAGUGGAUUGGAUUUUACAAAGAUUAAACCAUCAGUCACUUGUCACUUAGUUUUCCUGACAUUUUAAGAGUUUUUUGUUUUUUUUUUUAAUAUAGAGGCAUGUU